GCUAGGGUAGUGUGUACCCCUGUACAUGUUCCAUAAAAUUUACAUACUACUUUCAAGAAUUUUGAAAUGGCAUUGAUAAUCUAUAGAGCUUUGAAUUUUUUUAGAUUUGUUACACUUUAUGUACCACUAAUUUCACUUUAUUUACUCAUUUGCCUGCAUGCAAUCAGUUAAACUAUUAAUUUUUAAUGUGCAUUUCUUCAUGAAAAUUAAACAAAUAUGCAUUGGUUUGUCUCAUUUGCCCUUCAGAAUACCUUUAACAUUUUAACUAGUUGCCUUGCUAUUGGGAUGUUUAUGCUCUGGUUGUUGGAAAGAAGUUUCAUGGUCUAAGCUUUCUGCAUGUGUUUUUCCCAGUUCUUUGUUAAUUUUUAUACUGGGGCCCUGCAAAAACUUUUUUUUCU
rnacentral:misc_RNA from 1 species